rnacentral:tRNA from 1 species
GUAUAUCGUUAAGGAGACGGGUCUGACUGUAAAUCAGAUGGCUUAGUUCACGAGUGGGUUCGAUACCCUCUACUCCGACCA